UGCUCUGAUGAAAUCAUCUAAAGGAAGUGACGUCAGAAGCGAAAACAAUGAAAUGAUAAGCAUGGCAUUCAGAAU